rnacentral:rRNA from 1 species
AUUGAACGCUGGCGGCAGGCCUAACACAUGCAAGUCGAGCGAGCGGCGGACGGGUGAGUAAUGUAUGGGGACUGCCCGAUAGAGGGGGAUAACUACUGGAAACGGUAGCUCAUACCGCAUACUACAGGAUAACCCAUAUGGGAUUAGCUAGUAGGUGAGGUAAUGGCUCACCUAGGCGACGCGCCCUAGCUGUGCUGUGAGGAUGAUCAGCCACAAUGGGACUGAGACACGGCCCAGACUCCUACGGCGGCAGCAGUGGGGAAUAUUGCACAAUGGGCGGAAGCCUGAUGCAGCCAUGCCGCGUGUAUGAAGAAGGCCCUAGGGUUGUAAAGUACUUUCAGUCGGGAGGCGUUACCGACAGAAGAAGCACCGGCUAACUCCGUGCCAGCAGCCGCGGUAAUAC